CUCCUGUGUGCCUCCUUUUAUUUUUUUUCUAAACAGGGCCUCACUAUGUUGCCCAGGCUGGCCUUGAACUCCUGGACUUAAGUGGUCCUCCUGCCUCUGCCUCUCGAGUAGCUGGGUCUACAGGCACACACCACCACAAACAGCUCUAUGUGCCUCUCUUCUCGAAUUGGGAAUGUCUAUAAUGGUUAUCUUAUGCUUCUCACACUGUUGUAUGUUGCAGGGUACAGAGAUACAGAGAUACAGAUAACUGCCUCUUUAGUUCACAUGUCUUCAGAUCAAGCAAAACUAUUCUCAAGAGCUGUACUUGAGGAGCCUUACCCUAGAAGCCUCAUCUGAACCUGAUUUAGAUGAUGAGAUUCUGGACUUUGAGCUUUAAUAAGAUGAGAAUUUUGGAGGCUGUGGGAGGAGGAUUACUUGCUCUGGAGGAAUUCAGCCACCAUAUUGUGAGGACACUCAAGCAGCCCUGUGGAUAAGCCACAUGGUGAGGAAGUGAGGCCUCCUGCUAACAGCCAGUCCCAAUUCCCCGUCUAUGUCAGUGACUCAUCCUGGAAUCAGAGCCUUUUGGCAGUGGAGCCUAUAAAUGGCUGCAGCUCUGAUCAAUAACUUGGCUACAAUCUCAUGAGAAACCUCAAAUCUGAGCCAUCCUGCUAAGUAAACCAUUCCAGAAUUACUGCCCCACAGACACUAUGUGAG
rnacentral:lncRNA from 1 species